AUUGGUCUGCUUUUCAUGUUUGAGUGAAUUGGGUGAAUACAGAAAUCAAAACAUUUGACUCAGAACAUGCUUCUCAUCAAGGAUUAAAAAAAGAAAAAGAAACAAAAUCAUAACAACAGUUCCUUAAUGCACCUGGGGAAGUACAGUAUUUUCUUGAAGACCUUUAAACAGAAGCAUGAAAGGUAAUGGACACAUACUCUGUCUUGAACUGAACUCUCUCAGGGUAUUUUGUCCUUAAAGUUAUUUGUAGUUCCUCUUGCUUGCCAGGUAUGUUGUCAUUCUGACUUAUAUGUGAACACUGAACUCUUUCCCAUUCACUAACGUAACAUCACUGUGGGUAAUGGUCUAUGACGGAGUUAUUUGCUAUUUUGGGGCAAUUACUUUAAUAAUUUCUUGUGUUCUCUGUUUCAAAUUCCCUGCUGUUAUGAAAGCCUAGAGAGUCUCAGACCUAAAGAUGGGAACUGGAGACAGACUUGAUGAGUUACUGACAUCCACCUCAGCUCUACAUUCAACUGCAGGAGGUAGAUCAUGGCAUCAAGAUUUGUGGCCAAUUCUAAGAGAAUAUUAGUCAGAAUACACGUUCCAUCCCUUCCAAGAGGGCUACUGAUUAGGAACUCCAAGAUUUACAGAGGUCUUGUGGUACUGAAAGUACUUAAGAGGACCCUUUCAAAACUAUACAUUGGCUUGUCAAUCAAUAGAUUGAUGGAGUGGAAGAAGUGGAGUCACAAAGAAAGCCAAAGAACCGGUGAAAGAAAAGGAAGGAGUAAAAAGGGGGGAGAAAGAAAGAAAUUGAAGAGAACAUGAAAUGCACUGCAUGUGAAAACCAGAAAAGAAGGAAGAAAAUUGGGGCACCAAAAAAAUGAGAACUCGAGCUGAGCAAAUACAUGGCAAGGUAUGGAAAGACUUUAAAUACAAUCUGAGUUAGCUACUUGAAAAUAUGUCAGAUCUAAAACUGAUUUCUAAAAUAUUUCCAGAGAGUAACUGGUUAAUAAUAUCCUGUUUCUGCUGUGAUUGCACACCAGGAAGUAAAGGGGAUUGGAAUUCAAAUUGCCAAUGUCCAUUAAAUAAGAUUCUUUUCAAGGAACCUGCACAAAUGAGAACAAAGCUCUGUUUAUUUCUACUCAUAGAAACUGAUAUUGCAAGUUAUUCAAUUGUUUGAAAGCAAUUUGUUUUCAUAGAUUGUGAGUGGGCAGUAAAAUCCUGAGAAGUUUCACAAACGUCACUAAAAAUACUUUAAAUCCACAACAGUGAAUCUGAAAGUGAAAGGUGACCUCAUCUCAGUAAUGUCUCCUGGAAAUUGGGUCAGUGCUUCAUGAAUUUUAGGGAGUUGGCUCUCAUUUUUCUUCACUAGUUAAACAUUAAUCUUAAAAAAUAAUAAAUUCACACAUGUACAUUGGGUGAUUCUUUUG
rnacentral:lncRNA from 1 species